GAAACGCCCGGUUACAUUCCGAACCCGGAAGCUAAGCCUUUCAGCGCCGAUGGUACUGCAGGGGGGACCCUGUGGGAGAGUAGGACGCCGCCGAAC
rnacentral:rRNA from 3 species